rnacentral:rRNA from 1 species
UACGUAGGGUGCAAGCGUUAAUCGGAAUUACUGGGCGUAAAGCGUGCGCAGGCGGUUUCGUAAGACAGAUGUGAAAUCCCCGGGCGUCAACCUGGGAACGUGCAUUUGUAGACUGCAAAGACUAGAGUGUGGCAGAGGGGGGUGGAAUUCCACGUGUAGCAGUGAAAUGCGUAGAGAUGUGGAGGAACACCGAUGGCGAAGGCAGCCCCCUCGGGCGAACUACUGACGCUCAUGCACGAAAGCGUGGGGAGCAAACAGGAUUAGAUACCCCU